AUUGAACGCUGGCGGCAUGCUUUACACAUGCAAGUCGAACGGUAACAGGCCGCAAGGUGCUGACGAGUGGCGAACGGGUGAGUAAUGCAUCGGAACGUGCCCAGUCGUGGGGGAUAACGCAGCGAAAGCUGCGCUAAUACCGCAUACGAUCUAUGGAUGAAAGCGGGGGACCGUAAGGCCUCGCGCGAUUGGAGCGGCCGAUGUCAGAUUAGGUAGUUGGUGCGGUAAAGGCUCACCAAGCCAACGAUCUGUAGCUGGUCUGAGAGGACGACCAGCCACACGGGGACUGAGACACGGCCCAGACUCCUACGGGAGGCAGCAGUGGGGAAUUUUGGACAAUGGGCGCAAGCCUGAUCCAGCAAUGCCGCGUGCAGGAAGAAGGCCUUCGGGUUGUAAACUGCUUUUGUACGGAACGAAACGGUCCUGGUUAAUACCUGGGGCUAAUGACGGUACCGUAAGAAUAAGCACCGGCUAACUACGUGCCAGCAGCCGCCGUAAAAC
rnacentral:rRNA from 1 species